UUUCAGCGUUCCUGGGUAUCACACAGAUCUCAGUGGGACCUCCAAAUGAUAGAACCUAGUGGGGGAAAUCCCCACUCAAUUCCCGAUUCGGUGGGCACCCAAAAAAUCACAAAAAGAC
rnacentral:pre_miRNA from 7 species